AGGGAGGUAAUAAGGGUUGUAGCCCCGAGAGAGCGGCUAGUCUGCAACAAUGGUGGUGAAGCCGAGCAAAGGUGGAAGAAAAGAGGAGGUGGUUACUAGGGAGUACACCAUCAAUCUACACAAACGUCUCCAUUGAUGUUGAGGCUGAGGUGUUUAUUCUUUGAAGAUUUUUGAAAUUCUUCGUCUUCUUUGCUGCGAAAUCGAAUGGGAAAGAACGAGUUUCUCACGCCCAAGGCCAUUGCCAACCGAAUAAAAGCAAAAGGGCUUCAGAAGCUCCGAUGGUAUUGCCAGAUGUGCCAGAAACAAUGUAGAGACGAGAAUGGAUUCAAAUGCCAUUGUAUGAGCGAGUCUCACCAGCGGCAGAUGGAAGUCUUUGGCCAGAAUCCUAACCGUCUCAUUGACGGUUACUCUGAGGAAUUCGAGAGGUCUUUUGUUGAGCACAUGAAGCGGAGUCACCGUUUUAGCCGUGUUGCAGCUACUGUGGUCUACAAUGAGUAUAUCGCCGAUCGCCACCACAUCCAUAUGAACUCCACACAAUGGGCCACCCUCACUGAGUUCGUUAAGCACCUCGGUCGUACUGGUCAGUGCAAGGUUGAAGAGACGCCAAAGGGUUGGUUCAUGACCUACAUUGACAGAGACUCGGAGACCCUAUUCAAGGAACGUCUCAAGAACAAGAGAUUGAAGUCCGAUGUCGUAGAGGAGGAGAGGCAGGAGCGAGCAAUUAGGAAACAAAUUGAACGGGUUGAACAGUCAAUGUUCUCAUCAACAUCAGAAAAUGAAAUAGGGCCCUCUGAUUCUGAGCAAUUGUAUUUGCCACCCAAGACAGAACUCAAAUCAGAAACUGGAGCUAAAGUUGUGUUUGCUAUCAGUUCAUCUUCAAAAUUUGUUGCAAGAGAGAAUGUUGAAAGCUCUGAAGUGAUCUUUGAAGAGUCUGAAACAGAUAGGAGUGAGAAGAGGAUUAAAUAUGGUGGCAAUGGAACAAAGAGUGGUGGUGGUUCAGCUCUGGAUGAGUUGAUGAAAGAGCAAGAGAAGGCAAAGGAGCAGAGUAAUCGCAAAGACUAUUGGUUAUGUGAGGGAAUAAUUGUUAAAAUAAUGAGCAAAGCAUUGGCUGAGAAAGGUUACUAUAAGCAGAAGGGUGUGAUUCGCAAGGUGAUUGACAAGUAUAUAGGAGAGAUUGAAAUGCUGGACAGUAAACAUAUUCUGAGAAUUGAUCAAGAGGAACUUGAAACUGUGAUUCCCCAAAUUGGGGGUCUAGUGAGAAUUGUGAAUGGGGCUUACUGUGGUUCGAAUGCAAGACUGAUUUCUGUUGAUACCGAUAACUUUUCAGCGAAGGUGCAAAUUGAAAAGGGGUUAUAUGACGGAAGGGUUCUUCAAGCGAUUGAUUAUGAGGACAUUUGCAAGAUUGUUCAGUGAGGCUUUCAUACGUUGACCAUUAUGGACCCUUCUUCUGUGUUUCCUUGUUUAUGCGGGGAGUACGCCGAUCAUCCACCUUGAAUUUGCGGAUUCCACUUUGGUCGCAUUCAAGUAGCACCAAAGUGGUAUUAAAUGUGCAGAAUUUAGAUUUACCUCAAUCAGAGUUAAAAGCAUGACAAAAAUAGUGGUUGGUAACUCUUAUGUUCCCAGGACCAGGUAAUUUCCUUUCAGUGAUGAGACUGUGGGUGUUGGAGACAAAUUGACCCUUCAGUUACCCAUUAGUCUACAGACAGAGGCCAUACAAGAUGAUCGACCUGAGCACGCUUCUAUCCAGGCAAUCCUUUAUGGGCCCUACCUUCUAGCAGGUCUGACUAUGGCGACUGGGACAUUAAAACAGGAACAGCAAGCUCCCCCUCGGACUGGAUAACAGCAAUCCCGAAAGCUUAUAAUUCUCAGCUGAUCUCUCUUUCCCAGGUGGCCGGCAAUGUGACAUUUGUCUGGACGAGACAUUUGUCUUGAUGAACAUAAACAAUGUUAUCGCAAUGGAGAAGUUGCCAGAAUCAGGCAGAGAUUCUGCUGUCCAUGCCACCUUCAGGCUCAUCUCCAAUGACAUGAGUUCCUCCCAUUUCUCAUCACCAAUGGAUGCUAUUGGAAAAUCUGUUAUGCUAGAGCCAUUUGAUCUUCCUGGGAUGGUGGUUCAACAAGGACCGAAUGACGACCUCACUGUGGCAAGCGCUACUAUUGAGAAGGGUUGUCCACUUUUUGGGUGGUGGCUGGAUUAGAUGGGAAGGAUAACUCAGUUUCCUUGGAGUCAGAGAGCCAUCAGGGAAGUUUUGUUCCUAAUGGCCUGAACAGGUGCCAGUCAGAGACGGCAGAUGCUGGAUUCCAGCAACCAGUCAGUUUUAGCAUGAAUAGUGGUAGGAGUGAACAUCAUCCCAUCAGCUUUGUUGCAAAAGGUGCAAGCCGGAAUUUCUUACUGAUGCCAUAGCUGAGCUUGAGAGAUGAAUCUUACACUGUUUAUUUCAACAUCAGACCUUAGGUCUGGGUAGGCUAGAGGUGUUCAGUGCCAGAAUAGAAGUCUUCUUGGUCAAAUAAUUAUAAUUUUCCUUUCCUUUCUUAGAUUUGUGGGGAGAGGGUUGUGCUAGAUUGGCCGUUUGGCUCUGAGUAGGGUUUUGUUUGCUUUCUUCAAAUCUCUGGUCUAACCUAUUUCCAAAUUAUUGUUAAACCUCCUUGGGUAUAAGCAUCACUGUUGUUUAAAACAUUACCGUCUGAUCUUACAACUUCAUUUAUUCA